UGGAAGAAUUCAGCUACUAUUUCUCCAAAUAAGCUUUCCACCUCUUUCUAUUUCUCUUCUCCUUCUAGGACUUUUACAAUGUGAAUGAUAGGACAUUGGUCCCUUAACCUGUCCUCAUUUCAUUUCUUUUAUGUUUAGGUUGUUCAGCUUGAGUUCUUUCCAUUACUGUCUAUCCUGAUUGCUGCUCUGCUCUUCUGCAUCGUCUAAUCUGCUCUUGACUCACUGAAGUGUAUUUUCAUUUUAUUUUUGUAUUCAUCUCUGAUAGGGUUUUUUCAUAUUUUCUAUGACUUUGUUGAAAUUAUCAUUGAGUUCAUCCACUCUUCUCUCAAGACUGAUUAGUUUUUCAGACGAACCCUGUCAAUCAGACAGGCAAACACAAUAAUCUGAAAAAUAAGGUCAGUCCUGCUCCUACUGGACCCAGAGACCAAGUUGUCACAAUGGAAAUGCAGGCCACUUCCUCAAGAGUGCUACCAGACCAGGGAUAAAAGUUUGGAGCUGCCACUCUACUAUUUUGCUACAUCACUCUAUCAGCUUUUUUGACUGACUUUUCUGAACUUAUUCUGUAAAGUGUGUAUUUUUUUUGUCAUGUGUGACACUGAAGUUUUUGCUCAGUUAGCUUAGUGGUCAGAUAAUUAUUGGAGAGAAUUUUGAAAUGCCUGGAACUAGUAAGUUUCCCAGUCUUUGCCAGCAGCCUCUGUCAGCAUGAUGGGGCUUGCCUUAAGAAUUGAGCCAGAAAAUUGACAAUUCUGCCUUAGCCUGCACUUAGUGCUUAUACAGAACUUCAAAGCUAGCCAGAGGUGAGGGCUCAGAGUAUCUGGAGGUCAUUCCUGAGUAUGUGCACAACUCUCAUGUUUUUGACAAAUGCUCCCAGGGAAAAUGUAUUUUGCAUUAGGUGAACUCCAAGUCAGGUCAAAUAAAGAUGUUGUUGCACAUUAUGUCUUCCAAGGAACCAGAAGACAAGAAAAAUAGUGAAAACUUCCUGAGAGUUAGGCUUGGAAGUAUCUCCAACGUCAUUCCACAUCUCCUGUUAGUUUCAGGUUACUGAUUUUCACUAUAACUUUAGGUUGUUGAUUUUCAAGUUUAUUUGGAGCUGCAGAAAUAUGGAUGGGGAUAGCUACAUUAAAAUACUUUUAAAGCUCACUGUUCUUACUGAGGUUCAGCUGCAUUUAUUGAAUAAACCCUUC